AUGAACGCUGGCGGCGUGCCUAAUACAUGCACGUCGAGCGAACGGACGAGAAGCUUGCUUCUCUGAUGUUAGCGGCGGACGGGUGAGUAACACGUGGAUAACCUACCUAUAAGGCUGGGAUAACUUCGGGAAACCGGAGCUAAUACCGGAUAAUAUUUUGAACCGCAUGGUUCAAAAGUGAAAGACGGUCUUGCUGUCACUUAUAGAUGGAUCCGCGCUGCAUUAGCUAGUUGGUAAGGUAACGGCUUACCAAGGCAACGAUGCAUAGCCGACCUGAGAGGGUGAUCGGCCACACGGGAACUGAGACACGGUCCAGACUCCUACGGGAGGCAGCAGUAGGGAAUCUUCCGCAAUGGGCGAAAGCCUGACGGAGCAACGCCGCGUGAGUGAUGAAGGUCUUCGGAUCGUAAAACUCUGUUAUUAGGGAAGAACAUAUGUGUAAGUAACUGUGCACAUCUUGACGGUACCUAAUCAGAAAGCCACGGCUAACUACGUG
rnacentral:rRNA from 1 species